rnacentral:rRNA from 1 species
GAUGAACGCUGGCGGCGUGCUUAACACAUGCAAGUCGAACGAAGCGCCUUGAUUCGAUUCUUCGGAUGAAGAUCUUGGUGACUGAGUGGCGGACGGGUGAGUAACGCGUGGGUAACCUGCCUCAUACAGGGGGAUAACAGUUAGAAAUGACUGCUAAUACCGCAUAAGACCACAGCACCGCAUGGUGCAGGGGUAAAAACUCCGGUGGUAUGAGAUGGACCCGCGUCUGAUUAGGUAGUUGGUGGGGUAACGGCCUACCAAGCCGACGAUCAGUAGCCGACCUGAGAGGGUGACCGGCCACAUUGGGACUGAGACACGGCCCAAACUCCUACGGGAGGCAGCAGUGGGGAAUAUUGCACAAUGGGGGAAACCCUGAUGCAGCGACGCCGCGUGAGCGAUGAAGUAUUUCGGUAUGUAAAGCUCUAUCAGCAGGGAAGAAAAUGACGGUACCUGACGAAGAAGCACCGGCUAAAUACGUG